CCAAUAGCGUAUAUUAAAGUUGUUGCAGUUAAAAAGCUCGUAGUUGAAUUUCGGGAUUGACAUGUUGGUCGUGCCUUAAGGGGUAUGAACUGGCAUUGUCGAUUUCUCACCUUCUGGAGAAUCACGAUGCUCUUAAUUGGGUGUCGUGUGGAUCCAGGACCUUUACCUUGAAAAAAUUAGAGUGUUUAAAGCAGGCAUUUUGCUCGAAUACAUUAGCAUGGAAUAAUAAAAUAGGACGGCUUGGUUCUAUUUUGUUGGUUUCUAGGAUCACCGUAAUGAUUAAUAGGGAUAGUUGGGGGCAUUAGUAUUCAAUUGUCAGAGGUGAAAUUCUUGGAUUUAUUGAAGACUAACUACUGCGAAAGCAUUUGCCAAGGAUGUUUUCAUUAAUCAAGAACGAAAGUUAGGGGAUCGAAGACGAUCAGAUACCGUCGUAGUCUUAACCAUAAACUAUGCCGACUAGGAAUCAGACGAUGUUAAUUUUUUAAUGACUCGUUUGGCACCUUACG
rnacentral:rRNA from 1 species